AAACUUCACAAUGGAGGCAACUCCGAUGAGGGAAUUCCAAGUGCUAGCACAUUAGUGUUAGCUUUUCUUAAGCAUAGAUAACUUAAGGAAUAAGGGCUGGGUAAGACGGGUGCCAGCCGCCGCGGUAAUACCCGCAGCCCAAGUGGUGGUCGAUUUUAUUGAGUCUAAAACGUUCGUAGCCGGUUCAUUAAAUCCUUGGGUAAAUCGGAUGGCUUAACUAUCCGAAUUCCGGGGAGACUGGUGAACUUGGGACCGGGAGAGGCAAGAGGUACUUUUGGGGUAGGGGUAAAAUCCUGUAAUCCUAAAAGGACCACCGGUGGCGAAGGCGUCUUGCUAGAACGGAUCCGACGGUGAGGGACGAAGCCCUGGGUCGCAAACGGGAUUAGAUACCCCGGUAGUCCAGGGUGUAAACGCUGCAGACUUGGUGUUGGGACCCUUCGGGGUGUUCAGUGCCGGAGAGAAGUUGUUAAGUCUGCUACUUGGGGAGUACGUCCGCAAGGAUGAAACUUAAAGGAAUU
rnacentral:rRNA from 1 species